GGCAGUUCUCAGGUGAUGAACCCUGGAAUCAAGCUCCCGCCUCUCUGGUUCCAGGUGCAUCACCCGAGAACUGCA
rfam:Myotis brandtii contig192563, whole genome shotgun sequence.